rnacentral:lncRNA from 10 species
UUCAGAGACAGAUCUUUGAUGAAGAUCAGAAUGAUCCCCUUCUGCCAGGAUCCUUGGACCUCCCAGAGCUUCAGCCUGCAGCCUUUGUGUCUUCUUACCAGCCCAUGUACCUGACACAUGAACCCUUGGUAGAUACUCACCUGCAGCACUUGAAGUCUCCAUCACAGGGUAGCCCAAUUCAGUCUUCAGAUUGAACAAGAAGGGAUCAGAUGCCACAUCGUUUUUGUCGUGAUUAAUUUAACUUAAACUAAAAUUUUGGGUAUAUGAAAGAAGGCAGCAAUUCAGAAGUAAAGAAGAUACUAACGUAUUUCAUCAUGGAAGGUCCUGUGGUGAUGGUUUUCCCUGGGAAAACCUUCAGCUGCUUUAUUUUUAGUAAUAAAUUUCUCUUGUCAAUUCUGUUUACUUUCAUCUUGUAAUCGGGAUGUAAUCUUUUUUGCUUAGCUCUGCCUGAGGUAAAGUAAACUUCAGCCUCUUAUAAACAAGAGUGAUAGAGAGCUGCAGGCUGCUACAACAAAUACCAUAGACAGGUUGGUUUAUAAAUAACAUGAAUUUAUUUCUCACAGUUCUGGAUGCUGGGAAGUCCAAGUUCAAGGAGCGCAGAUUCAAUGUCUGGUGAGGGCCCACUUCCUAGUUCUUAGACAGCUGUCUUCCUGCAGUGUCCUCACGUGGUAGAAGAGGAAGGCAGCUCUCCGGGGUCCCUUUUAUAAGAUCACUAAGCCGGUUCAUGAGAGGUCUGCUCUCAUGACCUAAUCACCUCCCAAAGGCCCCACCUCCCAAUACCAUCACAUUAGGGGUUAGGAUUUAACAUGAAUUUUGGGGACAUAUAAACAUUAAGUCUGUAGUAGCAGCAGCUGACUAACGAGGGAGAUAGGGAGAUUCUGACAAACUUCUACUCUUGAUUGUGAUCCUAAUUCAAGGAAUAUCAAGUCCCAGCCCCUGCAACCCAGGCUGCUGCUUAAUUUUCAUGUCAGUAUCAUCAAAAUCCAAUGUUCUGCUUAAACUCAAGAUGGAAAGUCCAGUCCAAGGUACACUGUUCAUCUUUUUCUUCACAUUUUGCACAUCCUUCAAGGGGAUCUUUAACCUCUUUAACCUUUGUAUUGCACCUCAGAUAAUGUGCUUUUUAGCUCAGUACACUGAAACCAUAUGAUAACACAAAUUCACAUAUAAUUGGGGGUUAGUCCCAUACUCUAUAACAGACUUAGUCCUGUCUUUUCAUUAGCCAUGUAAUAAUAUAACUCCAUGUUCCAUGCAACUGGAUUUUUGGACCCUGUUAAUAGCAUUAAGGUAGAGGUUUACUCUAUCACCUAACACCUCAACACUACCUGUGGGAUGCCUUAGUUACCCAGCAGCAGGUUACCAAGGGCUGUCUGGAAAGGGAGGGACAAAAGGACCCAGAAGUAGAAGAAUGGGGAUGGAGUGGUGAGAAUUGAAUGGUUAAUGCACUGCCAUUCAUAAUUGCCAAUUGAGGACAACACAAAUGGGAUUGGUACUUUAUAGUAAUAAAUCUGACCAGCAGAGGGAGGGAUCAGGCAGCAGUGUUUAGAGCACACCACACUGGCCACUGUAAACUGAGAAGCUAAGUUAACUGGUAUUUUAUGAUUUUGAGUAUAGUCUUUUUAUAAGUUGUAUACACUUUACAAUGUAAAAGAAACAAACUUUGUAUAAUAGCAAAUCGGGAAGGGGACUGCUUAAAAUGUUAAUGCAGUGUUUUUCUUUUUUUCUCUGCAUAAAUGGCUUGAGCAUACUGGCAUUUACACAGAAAUGAUAUAUGCUGCUUUUAUCAUAUAACAAAUAUUUU